UGGGCUCGAACGACUGGUGGUACCUUAUUUGAAAGCAUGAGGGACCCGCAAGGGAGCCAGCCG
rnacentral:rRNA from 1 species